CAAAUCUGCCAAAAUGGGUGUAGGGAAGCCUGUUUCCCACACAGUCUGCUCCUUCCCACCCCAGUCACUGGAAAUAAGAAGGUCUAAUAACAAAACGCCUUCAUUUCCCUCCUCACCUCCUCACUCUCGGGGAUUUUGCAGCCCGUUGUUCCUAGACAGGAGCAAAUCUAACUCCCCUGCUGCUCCUCCCCCAAAGCAAACUAAGACCAUCUUGUUGAACUAUAAUGCAACAUAUGUUGAGAGCAGAUGCUCAUCUGGCAUAAAUUACUCUGGCUCUGCUCAAUUCAAUGGAGCUCCAGUAAUUGUAAUCAGCUGAAGAUUGUACCUUUGUUUUAUUUGUGGCUGUGGAAUGCAGUUCCUUAUCAGCAGCAGGUCAGGACACCUGCUGGGAGAACAGAGUCCAUUAACCUGAAGAUGGGUGACUGGUUUGUUCUCAGCUGUCCAGCUACUGGAUGAGAAGAAAGGCCAGUAAAAGAAAACAACUGCAGACGUUGGAUUAUCUAUUGAGCUGCCAUGGCCUUUCCCUGCUGCAGAACAGGUCUUCUACUGGUGCAGAAAGAGCUGGAGCUGCGCUUGCCUCUCCUCUCUAGGCAAAUCACCAAGGAAGGAGCUGGUCCAGCUUAACCCUUGGCACAAAGCACGUCUAAGAACGAGCAGCCUGUUGGGCUGCAUGCCAGGAAAGCAUCAGGGGAGAGAGAGAGAAAAAAAAAAAAAAAAGCAGAAAACCAGAACAUAAACACAAGAUUGCUGCGGUAAUUGGUGGCUCUGAAAAACACUGAGGAAAUGUGAGGCUUGUAUGAAACAUCAGCAGACAAGAAGCGGGGUGAUGUCAGACGGCCUUCCAGGAUUAGAAACCCUUAAAAGCUCCCGAGUGCGGAACUGCCUGCGAAACGCGCUGCGGCUCUUUGGCGUGGAAGGACCCGAGGAGGACAAGUUCUGUUGAAAACCAACCCCGUGGUUCAGGUUCAGGAGAAUAAAAAGAAAUAAAGGAGGAGAAGGGAAGAGCGGCAGAUAAAAGGAGGGAAAAAUGAGAGGAAAAUGAAGACAAAGAAUGGAAGAGGAAGAAAGGAAGGAGGUAGUGAAGAGAAUAAAGGAGAGGUGAAGCAAGAAGACAAAAGAAGAAAAAUAAAAGGAAGAGAAAAAAUGGAAAAGACAAAAGAAAGUAAACAGAAGAAAGAAAAAUAAAAGAAAGAAUGAGAGAAGGAAGUAAAAAAUGUUGUGAGUACAGUAAGCAUGGCAAAAGAGAAGCAGGGCUUUUUGGAUGCAAAUAUGAAAAUAUCGAGGGAUUCAACACAAACAUCUCAUUACCCCAAAUUAAGUCAAUACAACUAUAAUAGAAGAAAGAUCAGAGAGAAUGGAAUUGUAGUUGCAAUAAUGCUGGAGCCACACAGAAAAAGGCUUUGAACAGGGGUACACAAAACCAGAAAAAAUAAAGAAGGAAAAAAAACCUCUCCCACACAUUAUUUGUUGUUUCUACUUCUGUUGGCUUCUUUCCUCGGGGGAAAAUAGAAAUACAAUACCAGACAUUUUAUAUACAUGUAUAUAUGUGUAGAGAGGAGAGUCUUCUAGCAAAUCUCUUUAAAAACAAAGGGUGCGGGGAAAGCUUGCUGUCCUGCCCUCUAUGUACACCUAGGGGUGAUGUUCACACUGGCAGGGAUCAACACCAUGUCUCCAGAUGUGUUCCCUAAUUUCCUUUGGAAAGAAACCUGAGCAGGGGAUAUGAAGGCUUGCCGAUGGAUCUUUUGCUGUGGACACUCAGGUGGACCAGAUGUAAAAAUGUACCUACCCCACAGAGAUCAACCUAAAGUGAGAUGCCCUUAAGGACCAUUGCAUACAGGAUCUGUCACACCAUCACCUCAGAAGCUGAUGAUUUCUUAGGUUACAUUCAUAAAAUCAAACAAAAGAAUGGACACAGGACCUCAGUUUCUUGUGAUGUGAAGCUGCUGUGACUAUCCUAGCCCAAAGCUGACAAGCUCUGAACCAUUUCUGUGUUUGAUAGAGGAGUUGGCCCACAGCAGAGACCUUAACCAAUACACAGCUUGGAAAUGAAGAGAACUCAGUAUUGUGUAUGCGAUUAAAAAGACCCAAUUGUUCUUAAGGGUGGAGAACAGAUGUGCUCUUCUUCGUUGUAUAGGUGUAGCCUUGGAUUUUGGCAUCCACCAUCUUUUUGACUAUAUCCAG
ensembl:lncRNA